GAUUGGCCAAAAAGUUCGUUUGGGUUUUUCUGGAACAUCUUAUGGAAAAACCUGAACGAACUUUUUGGCCCAC
ensembl:miRNA